rnacentral:lncRNA from 1 species
UUUUUUUUUUUUUUUUAAAGAUUUUAUCAUUUUUAAAUAAUCUCUACAGCCAAUGUGGGGAUCGAACUCACAACCCUGAGAUCAAGAGUUGCACACUCCACCAACUAAGUCAGCCAGGUGCCGCAGAUUCUUUAAGGCUCUUAAACAUAUGAAAAAAAUGCUCAACUUUAUUCAUAAGAGAAAUUAAAAUUAUAAUACAGUGGCACUUUUGGAUUGAAAAGAUGAAGAAACACUCUUAAAUACAAUCACAAUAGAGGGAAAUUUUGCAAUAUUUUUCAAAAUGAUAGAUGCAAAGCUCUUUAACCUAGUAAUUCCAGUUUUAGAAAUCCAUCCUACAAAUAUAUAUAUAUGCCAAUUAACUGUGUGCUUCAGCAUCAUUGUCAUAGCAAAAGACAAGAAAUAAUUUAAGUGUUCAUCAAUAAAGGACUGGUUAAUAUAUUAAGGUACAUCUAUACAACAAAAUACUGUGCCAUAUUGGGAAAUAGAAUCAGGAAACAUAUGCUUAUAUUUGCAUAUGUGUGGUUUUUCCCUGAAAGGAUAUGCAAGAAACUGACAAGGGGAUGUGUGUCUGGGAACAUACUUUUGUCUUUUCCUAAUCUUGCAUCAUGUGUACUUAUUACUUAUUAAAACAUAAGCAAAAUACAUUUUAUGUUUAAAAUACCUUAAGAGGGAUCCCUGGGUGGCACCGCGGUUUGGCGCAUGCCUUUGGCCCAGGGCGUGACCCUGGAGACCCAGGAUCGAAUCCCACAUCAGGCUCGCGGUGCAUCGAGCCUGCUUCUCCCUCUGCCUGUGUCUCUGCCUCUCUCUCUCUCUCUCUGUGACUAUCAUAAAUUAAAAAAAAAAAAAAAUAAAUAAAAUAAAAUAAAAUACCUUAAGAAAAAUUGAAAAAUAUAAAUGUUAUGUAUAAAGUAGAUUGCAAAUAUUUUAAGAUAUCAUCUAGAAAGUUCCAGGGCAUUUCAAGCUCAGGUAGGCACUUGGGAUUUUCACCUGAGACCUACGGCAAUGAGGGUAAAAAAAUGAACUCUCUCAAUUGCUUGGGACACUCAGGAAAAGUGUGAAAAGCACUGCUUUCUAGAUAAUAAGGCCCAUAUGCAAGACUCAGGGGAGAUACCAUUUGGAACUCGGAAGUAAAGUUACUUUCUGAGUUCUAGAAAACAGACAAUUCUAAGUUUUUAAAGCAGAAGGAAUUUAAUUCAAAUGAGUGGUUUAUAUAGGUUUUGGCAGAGAUUAAAAGUGAAACAGAGAAAAGUGAAACAGUCCAGAGACAAGCAAUAGGAAGAAACUACUGCCGCCCUCACACUGGAGGAACAGAAGGAAGACAUUUUGUUACCAGAGUUGGGGCUGAGGAUCUGCUGCUAGAAAUCCGAGCCAGGUAGGUGGGAGGAGACAGCUUGAGUUUGGGGUGGGGUGGAGGUGGGGAUACUCUACCUUCUUCCUCCAUCUCUCCAAUUUCCAGGAGUGCCCCUCUUCGGAUGUUGCCCAGUAACAGCCUGGAAGCAAAACAGCACAAGAGUGCAAGACACACAGCCUUCAUGGCAUCACUGCCAUACUGAAAAGAGCAAGGGAAAGGUGAAGAAUGGAUCUGAGGGUAAAGCAGGCCCAAGAUCAGCACAGAAGGAAAUCGGACAGGGGGUGGGGUGGUGGGUAAAAACAUGGUUGACAAAUCUAUCUCCUUUGAAAAGAAUCAACUCAGGGUGCCUACACAAAGGUGGGUUUCUAGAACUGCAACAUUAAGGCCCAGAUAAUUUCCCCAAAAUGUUCUUUAGAGCUGGUUCUCCAAACUAGGAUCUAACCCUGAGCUAUAUGCUAUGUCUAAUUGUUCUGUCUCUCAAAAACACGUAAAUCCAGAAUGACAUCUUUUCUUGAUUUGGUGAAGGAAAGAGGCCAUUUGUCCUAUAGAAUAUCCCAACUUCUGAAUCCGUUUGCUGCCUUUUGCUUUACUUUAGCUUGAUCCUCUUGCCUAGCCUAUAAACUUGAGUAGAUCCAAUUGAAACAUUUUUUGGUAAGAAUAGGUCAUACUUGAUGAUGCCUAUUGAAUGUUGACAUCCUAGCAGGAGACACAUAAUAUGAUUGUUCUACCAUUAAUAAUGCUAGGAUUUACUAUUGUUAGAGUGAUGAAAGCCUGAUAAUUUCAUUGGGCAGUUAACUUUUAAGACGGGGCUAGUAGUUCUUGUGGUACACUUUCCCUUGUUAAAACUAGUUUCCUCAUCUGAAAUGUGAAUAAUAGAAUUGGGCUUUUUAUAAGUAUUUUUUAAAAAUAUUUUAUUUUUAAGUAAUCUCUACACCUAACCAGGGGCUCAAACUCACAACCUGGAGAUCAAGAGUGGCAUGCUCUAUUGACUGCACCAGCCAAGCACCCUGAAAUGUGAAUAGGGUUUUUGAAUAGAUCAAAUAAAUUAAUGCAUUCAAAGCACCUAGGACAUAGUAAACAUUCAAAUAAAGCAGCAAUUAUUAUUUUGAUUGCAACGCCACCAUCGGAGAAUAUGGAGAAGAAUCAAAAGCUCUAACUCACCAUUCUAAACAAUUACUUGGACGCCUGGGUGGCUCAGCGGUUAAGAGCCUGCCUUCAGCCCAAGGCCUGAUCCUGGAGACCUGGGAUCGAGUCCCACGUCGGGCUCCCUGCACGGAGCCUGCUUCUCCCUCUGCCUGUGUCUCUGCCUCUCACGAAUAAAUAAAUAAAAACCUUAAGAAAAAAAAAAUUACUUCCCUUUUCUGAGACCGGUCGGGUCAUUCUGGAGUCUGGCAGGCCACGCUGGGAGCUUGGCCUUGCUGUUGCGCGGGUUAGGUCUGUGGACAAGAUACGUAACUGCCAUAUGCGGAGGACUUAGCAUGUACAGACGUUGCACCAAACACUUUACAAGCAUUUUCACAUUUAAUUCUUAAGCUCCACAAGUGAGAAUUAUCACCCAUACUCUUCAGAUGCGACUGAGUCUCAGAAAGAUCAAAUAACUUGCUCAGGUGGCACCGCCAGGAAGCCGAGAUAGGACUACCAUCUCCUCGGGUCCACGAGACCCAAGAAGAAGACGCAUCGUAAAAACUUUUGCAUCGGGCUUAUUGCUUUAAGAGACCUAUGACUUCCCUGCUGUCACCUUCUCAGCAGGCUUUCUGGGUCUUACAAGUUGAACUCCUCUCUUCCUAGCGUCACUCCCUUCCCCCAACGCCCCUGCACAGGACUCCCCCUAACCGACAUUCAUUCGUCUUCCCCAACUCCAUGAGGGCAGGGAGUUCUGUCUGUUUUGGUCACUGCUGUCUUCUUAGCAUUUACAGCAGUGCCUGGCACACAGCGGACGACGCUUAAGAAGUUGUAGACAGGGAUCCCUGGGAGGCGCAGCGGUUUGGCGCCUGCCUUUGGCCCAGGGCGCGAUCCUGGAGACCCGGGAUCGAGUCCCGCGUCGGGCUCCCGGUGCAUGGAGCCUGCUUCUCCCUCUGCCUGUGUCUCUGCCUCUCUCUCUCUCUCUCUCUCUCUCUGUGACUAUCAUAAAUAAAUUAAAAAAAAAAAAAAAGAAGUUGUAUACAAACGAAAAACGCUUUCGGAAACGUCAGGGAGCCAGAGUGCAGCGGCGCGGAUUGAACCUCGCAGGGACCCUUCAUACACCCCCUUCCGCCUUCCUGUAGGCGGGGGGAGAAGGAGGAAAGCCCCGCCUAAGGCCGGCGCGCCGCAGCAGGCCCCGCGGACUGGAGGACUAGCGGGAGUUUCUGGAGUCGC